rnacentral:rRNA from 1 species
UACGGGGGGAGCAAGCGUUUGUUCGGAUUUACUGGGCGUAAAGGGCGCGUAGGCGGCGUGACAAGUCACUUGUGAAAUCUCCGGGCUUAACUCGGAACGGUCAAGUGAUACUGUCGUGCUAGAGUACAGAAGGGGCAACUGGAAUUCUCGGUGUAGCGGUGAAAUGCGUAGAUAUCGGAAGGAACAUCAGUGGCGAAAGCGGCUUCCUGGACCAGAACUGACGAUCAGGCUCGAAAGCGUGGGGAGCAAACAGG